rnacentral:rRNA from 1 species
UACGGAGGGGGCUAGCGUUGUUCGGAAUUACUGGGCGUAAAGCGCACGUAGGCGGACCGGAAAGUUGGGGGUGAAAUCCCGGGGCUCAACCCCGGAAUUGCCUUCAAAACUCCCGGUCUGGAGUUCGGGAGAGGUGAGUGGAAUUCCGAGUGUAGAGGUGAAAUUCGUAGAUAUUCGGAGGAACACCAGUGGCGAAGGCGGCUCACUGGCCCGAUACUGACGCUGAGGUGCGAAAGCGUGGGGAGCAAACAGG